rnacentral:rRNA from 1 species
GUGUAAGCGCAGCGAUGCGUUGAGCUAACCGGUACUAAUGAACCGUGAGGCUUAACCUUACAACGCCGAAGCUGUUUUGGCGGAUUGAGAGAAUUUCAGCUUUGAUUCAGAGUCCGAAGGAUUUUGCGCUGAGACAAGGCGGCAAAUGAAGCGAAGGAAGGAGCAUACUGAAGUAUGUGACUGACUUUCGCGAAUGCAGCCGACGCAGUAUCAGCACAAAAGACACAGGACAGAGCACAGGAAUUUGCCUGGCGGCCGUAGCGCGGUGGUCCCACCUGACCCCAUGCCGAACUCAGAAGUGAAACGCCGUAGCGCCGAUGGUAGUGUGGGGUCUCCCCAUGCGAGAGUAGGGAACUGCCAGGCAUCAAAUUAUGCAAAAAGGCCAUCCUGACGGAUGGCCUUUUUGCAUUGGCGCAGAAAAAAAUGCCUGAUGCGACGCUGCGCGUCUUAUACUCCCACAUAUGCCAGAUUCAGCAACGGAUACGGCUUCCCCAACUUGCCCACUUCCAUACGUGUCCUCCUUACCAGAAAUUUAUCCUUAAGCUCCUCAAUAACCAUUUUCCUGCUAACUAAAUUCAUGGUUAAGGUUGCAUAAUGAUAUGCAACAAAUGUAUAACAUUUCCUUUACCAAAAA